rnacentral:lncRNA from 1 species
UGAGCCCAAGUGUGUACCAAAGCGAUCCCUUGUGUAAUAAAAGUUGAAGAAUUACAAAAGUCUCUCUCCAUAUAGCUACAUAUAUUAAACCUUCCAAACUAACUCCAUUUCUUCAUUUAUCAACUAAACAAAAUCUCUUUCCUUCUUACAUUUAAAGGUCUUCUAUCUUUAAAUUGUUCUCCUACAAGGCCUUAUACGAAUACCAUAUAUUACAUAAGAAACCAAAAAUAUAUAAACUCUGAAAUAAUUCAACAAGUUGGCAAUAGUUAGUUAUUCAACUCAAUAACCAAUAACGUUAUUAUUGAGUUGUCCCACAUCAGAG